rnacentral:rRNA from 1 species
GCCCAAGAGAUCGGGAUAACACCUGGAAACAGAUGCUAAUACCGGAUAACAACAGAUGAUGCCUAUCAACUGUUUAAAAGAUGGUUCUGCUAUCACUCUUGGAUGGACCUGCGGUGCAUUAGCUAGUUGGUAGGGUAACGGCCUACCAAGGCGAUGAUGCAUAGCCGAGUUGAGAGACUGGUCGGCCACAUUGGGACUGAGACACGGCCCAAACUCCUACGGGAGGCAGCAGGG